rnacentral:ncRNA from 2 species
ACUAUAUCUUGUGUUCAAGGUUCUUACGAUUCGUGAGGAUCAAAAGCGAAGAUGGGAAUACGGUGCGCGGUAUCCAUGAUGGAUGUUGUUAAGCCGUAGCUGCCCCCGCAACUGUAAGCGGCGAGCUCAAAUCCAGAUGUCACUGGCACAGGCCGGGAAGACGGAUGCGAGCGAUGAGCCGUGAGCCAGGAGACCUGCCUUGAACGAGAACGUCCA